AACGAACGCUGGCGGCAUGCCUAACACAUGCAAGUCGAACGAGACCUUCGGGUCUAGUGGCGCACGGGUGCGUAACGCGUGGGAACCUGCCCUUAGGUUCGGAAUAACUCCCCGAAAGGGGUGCUAAUACCGGAUAAUGUCUUCGGACCAAAGAUUUAUCGCCUUUGGAUGGGCCCGCGUUGGAUUAGCUAGUUGGUAGGGUAAAAGCCUACCAAGGCGACGAUCCAUAGCUGGUCUGAGAGGAUGACCAGCCAGACUGGGACUGAGACACGGCCCAGACUCCUACGGGAGGAAGCAGUGGGGAAGAUUGGACGGUGGGCGAAAGCCUGAUCCAGCAAUGGCGCGUGAGUGAGGAAGGCCUUAGGGUUGUAAAGCUCUUUUACCCGGGAUGAUAAUGACAGUACCGGGAGAAUAAGCUCCGGCUAACUCCGUG
rnacentral:rRNA from 1 species